rnacentral:RNase_P_RNA from 1 species
GAGGCGGACCGGGUGACCGCCGGCCGGUGACGGUCGGAGGAAAGUCCGGGCUCCAUAGGACACGGCGCCGGGUAAUUCCCGGAGGCACCCACGGGUGUCAUAGAGAGUGCCACAGAAAAUAUACCGCCCCAACACUGCCAGGCAGUCUGGGGCAAGGGUGAAAUGGUGGGGUAAGAGCCCACCGCC